rnacentral:rRNA from 1 species
UACGUAGGGGGCAAGCGUUGUCCGGAAUUAUUGGGCGUAAAGAGCGUGUAGGCGGCCCGGUAAGUCCGCUGUAAAAGUCAAAGGCUCAACCUUUGAAUGUCAGUGGAUACUGUCGGGCUAGAGUCCGGAAGAGGCGAGUGGAACUCCUGGUGUAGCGGUGGAAUGCGCAGAUAUUCGCAAGAACACCAGUGGCGAAGGCGGCUCACUGGCCCGGUACUGACGCUGAGGUGCGAAAGCGUGGGGAGCAAACAGG